rnacentral:rRNA from 1 species
CCUACGGGUGGCAGCAGUAGGGAAUCUUUCACCAUGGGCGAAAGCCUGAUGGAGCAACGCCGCGUGCAGGAUGAAGGCCUUCGGGUUGUAAACUGCUUUUAUAAGCGAGAAAUAUGAUGGUAACUUAUGAAUAAGGAUCGUCUAACUACGUGCCAGCAGCCGCGGUCAUACGUAGGAUCCGAGCAUUAUCCGGAGUGACUGGGUGUAAAGAGUUGCGUAGGUGGCAUAAUAAGUAACUAGUGAAAUCUGGUGGCUCAACCAUUCAGACUAUUAGCUAAACUGUUAAGCUCGAGACCGUUAGGGGUAACUGGAAUGUGUAGUGUAGGAGUGAAAUCCGUAGAUAUUAGAAAGAACACCAAUAGCGUAGGCAGGUUGCUGGGACGGUUCUGACACUAAGGAACGAAAGCGUAGGGAGCAAACGGGAUUAGAUACCCGAGUAGUC